AUUGAACGCUGGCGGCAGGCCUAACACAUGCAAGUCGAGCGGAGCGGCGGACGGGUGCGUAAUGCCUAGGAAUCUGACUGGUAGUGGGGGAUAACGUCCGGAAACGGGCGCUAAUACCGCAUACUAUCAGAUGAGCCUCGGUCGGAUUAUCUAGUUGGUGGUGGAAAGGACUACCAAGGCGACGAUCCGUAACUGGUCUGAGAGGAUGACACGCCACACUGGAACUGAGAAACGGUCCAGACGCCUACGGGAGGCAGCAGGGGGGAAUAUUGCACAAUGGGCGAAAGCCUGAUGCAGCCAUGCCGCGUGUAUGAAGAAGGCCUUCGGGUUGUAAAGUACUUUCAGCGGGGAGGCGUUACCCGCAGAAGAAGCACCGGCUAACUCCGUGCCAGCAGCCGCGGUAAUUC
rnacentral:rRNA from 1 species